AUUGAACGCUGGCGGCAUGCCUUACACAUGCAAGUCGAACGGCAGCACGGGUGCUUGCACCUGGUGGCGAGUGGCGAACGGGUGAGUAAUACAUCGGAACAUGUCCUGUAGUGGGGGAUAGCCCGGCGAAAGCCGGAUUAAUACCGCAUACGAUCCACGGAUGAAAGCGGGGGACCUUCGGGCCUCGCGCUAUAGGGUUGGCCGAUGGCUGAUUAGCUAGUUGGUGGGGUAAAGGCCUACCAAGGCGACGAUCAGUAGCUGGUCUGAGAGGACGACCAGCCACACUGGGACUGAGACACGGCCCAGACUCCUACGGGAGGCAGCAGUGGGGAAUUUUGGACAAUGGGCGAAAGCCUGAUCCAGCAAUGCCGCGUGUGUGAAGAAGGCCUUCGGGCUGUAAAGCACUUUUGUCCGGAAAGAAAUCCUUGGCUCUAAUACAGUCGGGGGAUGACGGUACCGGAAGAAUAAGCACCGGCUAACUACGUG
rnacentral:rRNA from 1 species